rnacentral:sRNA from 1 species
UCCUGGCGAUGCGCGAUAUUUAGCGGGU